ACCAGACUCCUACGGGAGGCAGCAGUGGGGGAUAUUGCACAAUGGGGGAAACCCUGAUGCAGCGACGCCGCGUGGGCGAAGAAGUAUUUCGGUAUGUAAAGCCCUAUCAGCAGGGAAGAAGAAAUGACGGUACCUGAAUAAGAAGCACCGGCUAAAUACGUGCCAGCAGCCGCGGUAAUACGUAUGGUGCAAGCGUUAUCCGGAUUUACUGGGCGUAAAGGGAGCGCAGGCGGCGCGCCAAGUCUGAUGUGAAACCCCGGGGCUCAACCCCGGGCAUGCAUUGGAAACUGGCGGGCUGGAGUGCCGGAAAGGUAAGCGGAAUUCCUAGUGUAGCGGUGAAAUGCGUAGAUAUUAGGAGGAACACCAGUGGCGAAGGCGGCCUGCUGGACCGUAACUGACGUUGAGGCUCGAAGGCGUGGGGAGCAAACAGGAUUAGAUACCCUCGUAUU
rnacentral:rRNA from 1 species